rnacentral:rRNA from 1 species
UGAGGAAUAUUGGGCAAUGCCCGCAAGGGUGACCCAGCAACGCCGCGUGGAGGAUGAAUGUCGUAAGAUUGUAAACUCCUGUUAGAGGGGAAGAAUAGUACCGGUUGGACCGGUAUAUGACUGUACCCUCAGAGAAAGCCCCGGCUAACUACGUGCCAGCAGCCGCGGUAAUACGUAGGGGGCAAGCGUUGUCCGGAUUUACUGGGUGUAAAGGGCGCGCAGGCGGGAUAAAAAGUCAGUGGUGAAAUCCUACAGCUUAACUGUAGAACUGCCUUUGAUACUUUUAUUCUUGAGUUCGGGAGAGAGAGACGGAAUUCCAGGUGUAGUGGUGAAAUACGUAGAUAUCUGGAAGAACACCAGUUGCGAAGGCGGUCUCUUGGUCCGACACUGACGCUGAGGCGCGAAAGCGUGGGG